AUUGAACGCUGGCGGCAUGCUUUACACAUGCAAGUCGAACGGCAGCACGGGAGCAAUCCUGGUGGCGAGUGGCGAACGGGUGGGUAAUGUAUGGGAACGUGCCCAGUCGUGGGGGAUCACGUAGCGAAAGCUACGCUAAUACCGCAUACGAUCUACGGAUGAAAGCGGGGGACCGUAAGGCCUCGCGCGAUUGGAGCGGCCGAUAUCAGAUUAGGUAGUUGGUGGGGUAAAGGCCUACCAAGCCGACGAUCUGUAGCUGGUCUGAGAGGACGACCAGCCACACUGGGACUGAGACACGGCCCAGACUCCUACGGGAGGCAGCAGUGGGGAAUUUUGGACAAUGGGCGCAAGCCUGAUCCAGCAAUGCCGCGUGCAGGAUGAAGGCCUUCGGGUUGUAAACUGCUUUUGUACGGAGCGAAAAGGCUCUCUCUAAUACAGGGGGCUCAUGACGGUACCGUAAGAAUAAGCACCGGCUAACUACGUGCCAGCAGCCGCAGUAA
rnacentral:rRNA from 1 species